GAAAGUCUGAUCUCAUAAAAAUACAGUUCUGAAAACACAAGGUAAGAGCUCAAAGGCACAACCUUUCCAUGCAGACUGUCCAUUCGUAGGGAGAUGGGAGGAAAGCAGACCCUUUUUUGAUGGGGGCGCGAAGCUGGCGGGGAGGGCGAGCGCAGGGAGCUGCGGGUCUGAGGGGCCUGAGCCUGGGGGGUGGGGGGUGCCGGGCUGGAAGCUGAGC
rnacentral:lncRNA from 1 species